GUAGUGUUGAAGCGAAAGUGUUCGCAUGAUAUGUCGGGUGGCCUAGUUUCGUGUCAGGACCUGAAACAGUAGCAGCAUAAAGCUUGGCUCAUCAUUGUCGAUGUCGGGGACAAUUGAAGGAAGAACUUUAUCCCGAAUCAUCCUCGAGGCGCGGACGGACGGAUAAGCAAUUCAAAGGCAUCCACAAACCAGAGCAGCAGCACGCAACAAUUGCAACGAG